rnacentral:lncRNA from 1 species
GGAUUGAUAGGAACACUCCCAGAGAGGUGUCCCGCUGGGUUGGGGCCGAGGUCAGAAAAGGAACACCUUGCCUUGAGACCACCUUGCCCAGAGAUAAGAUUGGGAUGAAAUCAAUGCACUCACUGCUGCCAGGAAGGCCACUGGAAGAACAGGUGCCCCCAGUGGUCAGAAAAUUAUUACCCAGCUUCUGGACAGAGGGGAAGGGGCUGGGUGAUUCAAGGAUGGUACCAACCAGUGCAGCAAACAUGUGAGACCCUUGAAGACAAUUUUGUUGGUCUGGCUGCUGUAGGAAACUAUAAGUAAGACUAUGACAGACUGGACUCCAUUCUGUUAGGCCCCUAGGAGCCCAUGUUCUGAAUGACCCUAGGGGGCAGGCCUAUUGACUUUAUGGUAGACAGUGGAGCAGAACAUUCUGUGGUGACCCAACCAGUGGGCCCCAUCUUGCAGAGACACUGGUGACCAAACCCCUUGUCCUUUCUUACUACAUUGAUGGUGGAAUUUAGGCAGCCAUGAAGAGGUUCAUGUAUUCCUACACCUCCCUGACUGUCCUGUGGCUUUGAUGGGUCUGGACUUAUUGGAAAAGCUGCAGCCCCAGACAACUUUCAACUCCCAUGGCCAAGCAGCCCUGACCCUGGGGAAACCAAGAAAAAAAAUCAUGGCUUAUGGUUCCCCAAGGAGGAGUGGUUCCUCCUCAGUCUUAUAGAGUGGCCACAUCAGGGACCUAAGGGCACCCUUGGAGUACAGGGUGUUGGAGGGGCCCCAUUUAAAAACAUAGUUGUGGACUUCACUGAGCUUCCCUGAGUCCAAGGCUAUAAAUAUCUGUUAGUCUUCUGUGUACUUUCUCAGUCUGGGUAGAGGCCUUCCCUACUCGCACGGAGAAGGUACAUGAAGUGGCCUGAUUUCUCCUAAAGGAAAUCAUUCCCCAAUUUGGAAUCCCAAUCACCAUGGGAUUGGAUAGUGGGUUGGCGUUUGUGCCUGAGAUGGUACAAUUGGUGACAAAGGGGUUAAAGAUCACCUAGAAGUUACCCAUGACAUAUCAUCCUCAGAGCUCCAGGAAGGCGGAGCAAAUGAAUCAAACUCUAAAAUUACAACUGAGUAAACUGUGUCAGGAGAUCCACCUAGACCCACCUACACUAGGGCCAACUGUUGCCAAUUCCUCCGUUAAGAAUUAGGUCCAGCCCUACUAGGCAGAUCGGGUUCUUCCAUUAUGAGAUUCUUUAUGGAUGUCCUCCUCCAACUAUCAGGGACACAGUAGGGGAUCUGAAGGAACUGGGCAACAUUACCCUGAAACAGCAGAUGCAAGCUCUUGGCUCAACCUUAACCACUAUACACCAUUGGGUUAGGGAAUGGUUACCUGUGAGCUUGACCACAGAUGCCGACCCCUUUAAACUAGGAGAUGCUGUAUGGAUAAAAGAGUGGAAUGCACAACCUCUAAAACCCCUCUGGAAGGGUCCAUUCACUGUUGUUUUAUCCACACCUACUGCAGUGAGGGUAGCUGAAAUGGUACCUUGAAUUCACAGCAGAAGAAUGAAACUGGCUUCCCAAACCUGGGAAUGUACUUCUUAUCUAUCAACACUGUGCAAGCUGACCAUCCAGAGGAAGCAAAUUGCAACACCAGAGACCCUGGAGGACCGCAGCCCUGCUUUAAUCACUCUGGAAGCUGACUAAUCUACACACAACGGAAGCUUGAGGAAUCGGCCACCUGAUGGGAUAAAUAGACAGUUUCUGUUUUCUAUUUUGGUUCUCUUACUGUAAUGCACUGUCACCCCUUGUCCCUGUCUGCUAUUGUGAUCCUCACCAUAGGGAGGAUCCCUAAUCUUCACCAUAGGGUUGGCAGAAGCCUCUCUGGCAGACUGGAAAUAUGGCAAAAGGCCUGGGAUGAGGUCAACACAGACAAUGAAUAGGAGGCCCCAGGUGGACUAUACUGGAUAUGUGGGAGAACAGCCUAUACCAUAGUUCCCCCAAACUGGUCAGGAUUUUGUGUGUUAAGGUCUAUUCAUUCAUCCUUCUUCCUGCUCCCACUUGCCAGAGGGCAACACUUGGGAGUCAAAGUAUAUAAACGCUGGGAGACCCAGAGAAAACAGCAUGCCUUACAAAUUGGCAAUGGAAAGAUGACAAAUGGCCUCCUGAACAUAUAAUCCAUUACUAUGGUUCAGCCACCUGGGCAGAGGAUGGGUCUUAUGGAUACCGUACUUCUAUCUAUGUGUUAAACAUCAUCAGGUUACAGGCGGUUGUUGAAAUUAUAACUGAUGAAACUGCAAAAGCCCUUAAUAUACAAGCCAAGUAGCAAACCAAAAUGCAUAAUGCUAUCUAUCAAAACUGCCUAGUCUUAGAUAACCUGCUGGCCUCUUAGGGAAGGGUUUGUGGAACAUUUAACCUGAGUAACUACUGCUUACAAAUAGAUGAAAAAGGAAAGGUCAUGGAGCAAAUUACAGACUGACUUAGAAAAAUUGCUCAUGUCCCAGUUCAAAUUGGAGAGGCUAGAAUCCCAAAAACUUGUUUGCGGGAUAGUUUUCAACUUUUAGGGGACUCAAAACCCUCAUAGGUGUUGUGUUUUUAAUUUUGGGGGAUUUCCUGAUCCUAUUUUGUCUAGCCCCCCUAGUUAUAAGGUCAGUCUCCAGCUCCAGUGAGGGCAUGGAUGAAAAAAAAAAUGGCCACACAUGUAAUGAUGUUAUGGAAAUAUAAACCCCUAAACCAAGAUGAUGUUUUUGACCCCGGGGUGGGGGGGUCUGACCAUCAAAGGGGGGAAUGUAGUAAGGGCCCCCCCAGAACAAAGGGAAGGCAAUGUGGCAUAACCAGCAUCUAUGUGCACAUGCAUAACUCUUCAGCCGCAAGACAUAAUCAGUAUCCAUGUGCAACUUUGUAACAUAGACCAUCCAAACAGAAUUUACAGGAUGUAUGUUAUCUAAUAAGAGGGACAAAGGGACCAAAAUGUAAAAAGGAAAAUAACAGAAGGUAUAUAAGGCAGCGCCCCACUGCGUUCAGAGCUCAGCCUUUGGAUGUGUAUCCACUGAGCCAGUGCUGGCAAGAAUAAACACUGCUCCUGGCAAAGAGCCUUGGUGUCCUGUCUCUCUGUACAAGAAUCCUGCAACAAUAGAUGAUAGGAAUAUAGAAUAACCUUCCAAAUUUUUUAAAAACAUUAGUAGAUUUUAACACAUUUUUAGAAGCUUUAGUUCAUACACAAGUUUUUUUCCCCAAUUAAUAUGUAUAAACCCUAACAAAAACAGUUAAUUUUUAUUUUGUUGUUAGUGUCAAAUUCAUUUUCUACUUCCUAGGUCUCACUUCAUUUCUUCUUAGAUAGAAGAUACCUCCUGCAGGUCUACAUUUUUCUCAGGAAAUUAAGAACUUUCAUAUAUUUCAAAGCAUAAAAAUAAUUACAGCUAUAAAAUCGGGAAAUCAGGUACAAGAACAAAACAGAACAAAACUUUCUUUCUAAAAAGUGACAUUGUUAAAUAAACUAUAAGUGUAAUUUGUUAAAUUAUUUCUUCAGAUCUAAAUGUCACUAUAAAAAGAAAUUUACUUCACAUUUUACUUGAGCAAACUGUCAAAAGAUUUCUCAGGAUUCCCAAACAAUGUUUAAAAGGGGCUUAUGAGGUACUUUACAUAGUUGAUAUUCAAAAACUGCUUGUUGAAUUUUAUGGCAAGAAUGUAAGAAAAAAUAAACAAAAAUACACUUGUGAUUGAAGUUACAGCUUUUCAGAUAGAGAAUAAAGGCUCAUGGAGACAUUGUAUAUUAAUUCAAUUAUUUGAAUUUUAUCUUGAAGAAAAAUAAUAUCCUUUGGGAUUCAGAAUCACUUCAAAAGUUGAAAAUGCCACUUAGAAUUUUAGAAAGGGAUUCUUGAAAUCAGUUAGUCUAUUACUUUCAUAGGUACUGAAAUUUUGGAUCAAUUGAAAUCUCACCCAGAACCAUAAACAAAUAAAAAUAUACCUGUUCUAUUUGCAGUGGGUACUGGGGACCUGCAGUAAUAUCAAAUACACCCUCCAUCACCCUUUCCACCAAACCAACAAUAGUGGAGGCUUUCAGAAGAUUAAAAAAAAAAAAAAAAGCAAAGAUGAGCAAACACUCCAGAUUUUAAAAAUUUGUUUAAAACCCACUGAUUUGGACCAGUCUCCUGAUACUAUGAUCUCAUCUAAGAAGAUAGUAACUCCAUAGAAUAUAAGUUCAUAGCCACAGCUGACUAAUAUCAAGGUCAGAACUCUAGGCUCUUUUGUUCAGUCAUCUCUAUUUUUAUUUAACUACAUUUACUUUCAUAUUUCAAUAUCAAUACCAAUUACUACUUAUAAUAUGGAUGUUCCUUUGUUUCAAAGAAACAGUUAACUAUAUUGUCCAUUGAGAAUAAGUACCUUUCCUUAAUUUCAUUAUGUAAUAAGAGAUGACUUUACAUGGUAGGAAAGUGCAUUAAGGAGUUAAAAGAUAAAUUCAGUAGCAAAAUGAAUUACAGUCUAGGUAAAUAUCCUUUCCUCUCUACCCUUCCCCUCUCUGAACCUUGACUAUAAACUUUGGAAUAUCUCUCAAGCCCAGGAGCAGCUCCACAAUUUCUAAGAGAGUUAAGUUUGUAAUCUAUUUGGAAGCAGUAGUGAGAAGGGCCAAGAAAAUUUUUAUUCCAGCAUCAGCUGUAUUAUGGAAGGGGAUAUGCCAGUUCUGUCUCACCCUGUAAUCUCCUAUCAUCAUGCAAUUCCCACCGUUCCUCUUCAUAACAGUUAUUGUGAGUCCACCUUGGUGUUAUUUCUCCCUUACCUGGUAGUCACAUGGAGUAGACUCUAGUGGCCACAUUAUAGCUUCAUUCACUCUUUCCAUUAACAGCUAAGGAGCUCUUUGAUGUGUUUCUCCUCUAAUGUCCUAUUCAGGUUUCUUAGUUUAUUUUUGUGAAAGACUUGAUCUGAAUAACUUAGCCAGCAAUUUCCCAAGAAAAGUAACCCUAUAUUUAUCUUUGAAUUAGUGCCUCUCAUAGUUCCGGUCGUAGCUCAGUGGUUAACAAACCUAACUACCAUCCAUCAGGACUUGGGUUCCAUCCCUGGCCUUGCUCAGUGGGUUAAGGAUCCGGCCUUGCUGUGAGCUGUUGUGUAGGUCACAGAUGUGGCUCAGAUCUCAAGUUACUCUGGCUGUGGCAUAGGCCAGCAGCUGUAGCUCUGACUGGACCCCUAGCCUGGGAACCUCCAUAUGCUGUGG